GACAGAGGUGCCGAGCGUUAGGCGGAAUCACUGGGCUUAAAGCGUGUGUAGGCGGCUUUGUAAGUACCUUGUGAAAUCCCACGGCUCAACCGUGGAACUGCUCGGUAUACUGCUUAUCUUGAGCCACUUAGGGGCAGUCGGAACAGACGGUGGAGCGGUGAAAUGCGUAGAGAUCGGAAAGAACACCAACGGCGAAAGCACUCUGCUGGGCCGACACUGACACUGAGAGACGAAAGCUAGGGGAGCGAAUGGG
rnacentral:rRNA from 1 species